rnacentral:rRNA from 1 species
CCCUUUGGGGUGUGACUGCGUACCUUUUGUAUAAUGGGUCAGCGACUUAUAUUCUGUAGCAAGGUUAACCGAAUAGGGGAGCCGGAGGGAAACCGAGUCUUAAUUGGGCGUUAAGUUGCAGGGUAUAGACCCGAAACCCGGUGAUCUAGCCAUGGGCAGGUUGAAGGUUGGGUAACACUAACUGGAGGACCGAACCGACUAAUGUUGAAAAAUUAGCGGAUGACCUGUGGCUGGGGGUGAAAGGCCAAUCAAACCGGGAGAUAGCUGGUUCUCCCCGAAAGCUAUUUAGGUAGCGCCUCGUGAAUUCAUCUCCGGGGGUAGAGCACUGUUUCGGCUAGGGGGCCAUCCCGGCUUACCAACCCGAUGCAAACUGCGAAUACCGGAGAAUGUUAUCACGGGAGACACACGGCGGGUGCUAACGUCCGUCGUGAAGAGGGAAACAACCCAGACCGCCAGCUAAGGUCCCAAAGUCAUGGUUAAGUGGGAAACGAUGUGGGAAGGCCCAGACAGCCAGGAUGUUGGCUUAGAAGCAGCCAUCAUUUAAAGAAAGCGUAAUAGCUCACUGGUCGAGUCGGCCUGCGCGGAAGAUGUAACGGGGCUAAACCAUGCACCGAAGCUGCGGCAGCGAACGUAUCACUUAAAGCGAUUCAGCGGGUUACGAUUGACGGAGCGAAGCGACGUCAAAGCGUAUACAAAGUCGAGUCGGUUUAAGGAUACGUU